UANACNUGCAGUCGACGCGUUGGCCCAAUUGAUUGAUGGUGCUUGCACCUGAUUGAUUUUGGUCGCCAACGAGUGGCGGACGGGUGAGUAACACGUAGGUAACCUGCCCAGAAGCGGGGGACAACAUUUGGAAACAGAUGCUAAUACCGCAUAACAACGUUGUUCGCAUGAACAACGCUUAAAAGAUGGCUUCUCGCUAUCACUUCUGGAUGGACCUGCGGUGCAUUAGCUUGUUGGUGGGGUAACGGCCUACCAAGGCGAUGAUGCAUAGCCGAGUUGAGAGACUGAUCGGCCACAAUGGGACUGAGACACGGCCCAUACUCCUACGGGAGGCAGCAGUAGGGAAUCUUCCACAAUGGGCGCAAGCCUGAUGGAGCAACACCGCGUGAGUGAAGAAGGGUUUCGGCUCGUAAAGCUCUGUUGUUAAAGAAGAACACGUAUGAGAGUAACUGUUCAUACGUUGACGGUAUUUAACCAGAAAGUCACGGCUAACUACGUGCCAGCAGNC
rnacentral:rRNA from 2 species